rnacentral:lncRNA from 1 species
AUGUGAUGGCAUUCCAAGACAUUUUACCAACACAUGUAGGCGUGCUGCAGUGUCAUAACGAGUACCAAUCACAUCACGUGGUUGUAAAACUAGACCCUUCUAAUCAAGGCAUUGCGGAGGUAAUGGAUUAAUAGUGUGAUCAGAUGACACCAUUGCCUUUAGUUGUGACCCACCGUUUGGAUUUGAUCAACAACUUUAAACGGUAGGUCACUCUACCAGUCCGUUCCAUGACUUCGAAUGGACCAAACUAACGAUCUGAAAUCUUCUGACACAGUCUUUUAACAACUGAUUACUGCCUAUAAAGUUUAAGCUUCAAAUAAACAGUAGUGCCCACUUCAAACUCCACAUGGCAACAAUGUUUAUUUGCACUCUCA